rnacentral:misc_RNA from 1 species
AACGCACAUUGCGCUCCCUGGUAUUCCGGGGAGCAUGCCUGUUCGAGCGUCAUUAUCAACCAUCAAGCCCUGCUUGGUAUUGGGUGUCGUCCCUGCUGUGGACGCGCCCUAAAGUAAUCGGCGGUGGUGUUGAACCUCAAGCGUAGUAAAUCUCCAGCUUUUUAGGUGAGACGCCGCUCGGCCUCUAGAAACCCCAUAUUCUAAGGUUGACCUCGGAUCAGGUAGGGAUACCCGCUGAACUUAA